CAACAAGGACACAACCCACCCGAAAAGUCAAAAAAAUGGAGUCCAAAAAAAGAAAGAAGAUUCAGGAGGAUUCUGAUUCAGAACCUGAAUCAAAUGAUGAAAGCGAAAAAUCAUCACCAGUAGAGAAGCGAAAAAACAAAGAAAAAGACUUAGAGAAAACCAAAAAAAACACAAUCCAAAAAGAAAAAAGUCAUUGUUGAG